rnacentral:rRNA from 1 species
UCCUGGCUCAGAUUGAACGCUAGCGGGAUGCUUUACACAUGCAAGUCGAACGGCAGCACGAGAGAGCUUGCUCUCUUGGUGGCGAGUGGCGGACGGGUGAGUAAUAUAUCGGAACGUGCCUAGUAGCGGGGGAUAACUACUCGAAAGAGUGGCUAAUACCGCAUACGCCCUACGGGGGAAAGGGGGGGAUCGCAAGACCUCUCACUAUUAGAGCGGCCGAUAUCGGAUUAGCUAGUUGGUGGGGUAAAGGCUCACCAAGGCAACGAUCCGUAGCUGGUUUGAGAGGACGACCAGCCACACUGGGACUGAGACACGGCCCAGACUCCUACGGGAGGCAGCAGUGGGGAAUUUUGGACAAUGGGGGAAACCCUGAUCCAGCCAUCCCGCGCGUAUGAUGAAGGCCUUCGGGUUGUAAAGUACUUUUGGCAGAGAAGAAAAGGUACCUCCUAAUACGAGGUACUGCUGACGGUAUCUGCAGAAUAAGCACCGGCUAACUACGUGCCAGCAGCCGCGGUAAUACGUAGGGUGCAAGCGUUAAUCGGAAUUACUGGGCGUAAAGCGUGUGUAGGCGGUUCGGAAAGAAAGAUGUGAAAUCCCAGGGCUUAACCUUGGAACUGCAUUUUUAACUGCCGAGCUAGAGUAUGUCAGAGGGGGGUAGAAUUCCACGUGUAGCAGUGAAAUGCGUAGAUAUGUGGAGGAAUACCGAUGGCGAAGGCAGCCCCCUGGGAUAAUACUGACGCUCAGACACGAAAGCGUGGGGAGCAAACAGGAUUAGAUACCCUGGUAGUCCACGCCCUAAACGAUGUCAACUAGCUGUUGGGGCCGUUAGGCCUUAGUAGCGCAGCUAACGCGUGAAGUUGACCGCCUGGGGAGUACGGUCGCAAGAUUAAAACUCAAAGGAAUUGACGGGGACCCGCACAAGCGGUGGAUGAUGUGGAUUAAUUCGAUGCAACGCGAAAAACCUUACCUACCCUUGACAUGUCUGGAAUCCCGAAGAGAUUUGGGAGUGCUCGCAAGAGAACCGGAACACAGGUGCUGCAUGGCUGUCGUCAGCUCGUGUCGUGAGAUGUUGGGUUAAGUCCCGCAACGAGCGCAACCCUUGUCAUUAGUUGCUACGCAAGAGCACUCUAAUGAGACUGCCGGUGACAAACCGGAGGAAGGUGGGGAUGACGUCAAGUCCUCAUGGCCCUUAUGGGUAGGGCUUCACACGUCAUACAAUGGUCGGGACAGAGGGUCGCCAACCCGCGAGGGGGAGCCAAUCUCAGAAACCCGAUCGUAGUCCGGAUCGCAGUCUGCAACUCGACUGCGUGAAGUCGGAAUCGCUAGUAAUCGCGGAUCAGAAUGUCGCGGUGAAUACGUUCCCGGGUCUUGUACACACCGCCCGUCACACCAUGGGAGUGGGUUUCACCAGAAGUAGGUAGCCUAACCGUAAGGAGGGCGCUUACCACGGUGGGAUUCAUGACUGGGGUGAAGUCGUAACAAGGUAGCCGUA